UCCGGGGUCGUCUAACGGUAGGACGAUGGCCUCUGAAGCCAUUAAUCUUGGUCCGAAUCCAAGCCCCGGAGCCA
rnacentral:tRNA from 1 species